UACAGAGGUCUCAAGCGUUGUUCGGAUUCAUUGAGCGUAAAGGGCGCGUAGGCUGCGGGGCAAGUCGGGUGUGAAAUCUCAGAGCUCAACUCUGAAACUGCACUCGAUACUGCUUUGCUCGAGGACUGGAGAGGAGACUGGAAUUUACGGUGUAGCAGUGAAAUGCGUAGAGAUCGUAAGGAAGACCAGUGGCGAAGGCGGGUCUCUGGACAGUUCCUGACACUGAGGCACGAAGGCCAGGGGAGCAAACGGG
rnacentral:rRNA from 1 species